UACGUAGGGACCGAGCGUUGUCCGGAAUCAUUGGGCGUAAAGAGCGUGUAGGCGGCCACUUAAGUCCUGCGUGAAAUCUUGCGGCUCAACCGCAAGCGGUCGUGGGAAACUGGGUGGCUAGAGUGCGGGAGAGGAGAAUGGAAUUCCUGGUGUAGCGGUGAAAUGCGCAGAUAUCAGGAAGAACACCAAUGGCGAAGGCAGCUCUCUGGGACGGUACUGACGCUGAGACGCGAAAGCGUGGGGAGCAAACGGG
rnacentral:rRNA from 1 species